rnacentral:rRNA from 1 species
CCUACGGGAGGCAGCAGUAGGGAAUAUUGCUCAAUGGGGGAAACUCUGAAGCAGCAACGCCGCGUGGAGGAUGAAGGUCUUCGGAUUGUAAACUUCUUUUGUUAGAGAAGAAAACGACGGCAGCUAACGAAUAACAAGCGGCUAACUCCGAGCCAGCAGCCGCGGUAAUACGUAGGGGGCAGGCGUUACUCGGACUAACUGGGCGUAAAGAGCGCGUAGGAGGGAUAGCAAGUCAGAGGUGUCAUCCUCUGGCUUAACCAUAGACCUGCCUUUGAAAAUGUUAUUCGAGAGUAUGGGAGUGGUAGGUGGAAUUCUUGGUGUAGCGGUGAAAUCCGUAGAUAUCACGAGGAAUACUCGUUGCGAAGGCGACCUGCUGGACCGUAACUGACGCUGAUGCACGAAAGCGUGGGGAGCAAACAGGAUUAGAUACCCCUGUAGUC